CUAGCUGUAGGCUUGCUGGUUCUCGGGCAAGUCCCUGUAGACCUGCUGGUGUUACAAUUGUGUAGUUCCAUUGGGCAAAGAGCCUUGCUAGAGCUGCUGUCUUCCUUUUGCUGCUGUUUCACAGGAAAGUGCUUAUGUGAGAGCUAGGGAGUUGCUUUCUGCUAUAUUUGAAUCUCUAGCUCUCCCAGGAAUAUCCCAGGGACAGCAAGACUAUAGAGCAGUGAGGCUGUGAGAGUUACUCUGGACUGAGGAGUGUAGCAAAUCAACUUCCCAGCUUAAGAUAUGCAUCCCAAUGUUGGAGAACUGACUUCUGAAAAAAGGGCACAAAGGAUCUGAUUACAUGGAGUCCUACUAGAAUGACACACUUCCAUACGCCGAUUUGGAUUGGCUGCUUGGGAAGGAUGACCUGACUAAAGCUGGAAGUAAUUUCAAAGAACUGAGGUCUUCCUGGGUGAGUGCACAAGUUUACUGGACAAAAGGAUGAAAACCAGUUGCCCAAAUACAACCUUGAACUCAGCAAACAGUGAUCAAGACAGACCAGAGAAUAAAGAAUGCAUUGGUACCACCACUAGCAAUGAAUACAUAUAGGUCUCACCAUAAUAGAAACUCUUUCUUUGCGUAAGCACAUCACCUGUUUCCCCUAUAUUUUCACAAGUAUGCUCCACUUUCCAGGUUCCUAUGACACAGGUAGUCCUGAUCUGUGGAUGCUUCUGGACUGUUGCCAUGAGACCUUUCAUCUUAGUUUUGCCUCAUAACUAAUUAUUUUUUCUGAUUUUACACACAACACCUACCAAAGACUUCAAAGCUAAACUGCACCAGUUUUCAGCUGCUAGAGUGUCAGUAUUUCUGCUCCACAGCACAUUGGGACCAAGACAGGGGUGUCAAAC